ACUACAAAUAAUUCAAAAUGAACUUCCAAGGUACAACUUAAAUCACCUUUGACAAUCACCACUAUCCAGUAACCCUUUUCUCUCACCUUAAUACAAAUCAUUCAAAAUGAACUUCCAAGUUACAAUCAUAGCAAGAGAGACGGCAAUCGGAUUCGUCAGACAAUAUCUAUUAAGAUUACUUUCUAUUUACUAUUCACAAUCAACUUAAACAUGCAAAAAUUUCCGGAACUAAAUCAGAUCAGAAGUAUACAAACACCUCAAAACAUCAAAGGUGAAUAGAAUUUUCGUAAAACAAAUCCUUUUUAGCAGAAUAAAAGAAAAGAAACUAAAAAAACA